CGGACUACAGGGGUUUCUAAUCCUGUUUGCUCCCCACGCUUUCGUGCAUGAGCGUCAGUGCAGGCCCAAGGGAUUGCCUUCGCCAUCGGUGUUCCUCCGCAUAUCUACGCAUUUCACUGCUACACGCGGAAUUCCAUCCCCCUCUGCCGCACUCUAGCCAUGCAGUCACAAAUGCAGUUCCCAGGUUGAGCCCGGGGAUUUCACAUCUGUCUUGCAAAGCCGCCUGCGCACGCUUUACGCCCAGUAAUUCCGAUUAACGCUUGCACCCUACGUAUUACCGCGGCGGCUG
rnacentral:misc_RNA from 1 species